AAUGAACGCUGGCGGUAUGCCUAACACAUGCAAGUCGAACGGCAGCACAGUAAGAGCUUGCUCUUACGUGCGUCGAGUGUCGGACGCGUGAGGAAUACAUCGGAAUCUACUUUUUCGUGGGUGAUAACGUAGGGAAACUUACGCUAAUACCACAUACGACCUACGAGUGAAAGCAGGCGAUCUUCUGACCUUGCGCGAUUGAAUGAGCCGAUCUUGGAUUAGCUAGUUGGCUGGGUAAAGGCCCACCAAGGCGACGAUCCGUAGCUGGUCUGACAGGAUGUUCACAUAGACUGGAAGUGAGACAGGGUCGCGACUCCUACGGGGGGAAGCAGUGGGGAAUAUUGGGGGAUGGGGGCAAGCCUGAUACAGCAAUACCGGGUGAGGGAAGAAGGACUUCGGGUUGUAAAGCCCUUUAGUUGGGAAAGAAAAGCAGCAGGUUAAUACCCCGAUGUUCUGACGGUACCCAAAGAAUAAGCACCGGCUAACUUCGUG
rnacentral:rRNA from 1 species